rnacentral:tRNA from 1 species
GUCGUGGUGGCUCAGUGGUUGAGUGUCAGUCUAUGAACCAGGAGGUCAGGGUUUGAUUCCCUGUCAGGGCA